ensembl:lncRNA
AGGUGCCCCACAAGUGAAUUUUGGGGGGUCCAAGUCCAUUCUCUGCCCCAUAGAUGGAAUUUUAGGGGAUCCAAGUCUCGUUCUCUGCCCCACAAGUGGAACUUGGGGGUCUCGGGCUCCGUCUCUGCCCCACAAGUGAAAAUUGGGGGUCACUGGAAUCCGUUUCUGCCCCAUAGAUGGAAUUUUUGGGGGGUCCAAGCUCCGUCUCUGCCCCACAAGUGGAACUUGGGGGUCUCAGGUUCCAUUCUCUGCCCCACAAGUGAAUUUUGGGGGUCUCAAGGUCCAUUUCCUGCCCCACAAGUGGAACUUGGGGGUCUCCAGGUGCCCCACAAGUGGAACUUGGGGGUCUCGGGNNNNNNNNNNNNNNNNNNNNCUGUGGGGCUGCCCCACAAGUGGGGUUUGGGUCAAAAAACCCCAAUUUUGGGUCAAAAAAUCCCAAUUUUGGGUAAAAAUUCCCAAUUUUUUGGGUUAAAAAUUCCAAUUUUUGGGACUGAAAUGCCCAAAUUUGGGGUAAAAAUUCGGAUUUUCGGGGGUCCCAGAUCUAUGGGGCAGCCCCACAAGUGGGGUUUGGGUCAAAAAACCCCGAUUUUGGGUCAAAAAAUCCCAAAUUUGGGUAAAAAUUCCAAUUUUUGGAUAAAAUUUCCCAAGAUUUGGGGUAAAAAUCGCAAUUUUUGGGUGGAAAAUGCCCAAAUUUGGGGUAAAAAUUCGGAUUUUUGGGGGUCCCAGAUCUGUGGGGCUGCCCCACAAGUAGGGUUUGGGUUAAAAAACCCCAAUUUUGGGUCAAAAAAACCCAAUUUUGGGUCAAAAAAACCCAGUUUUGGGUCAAAAACCCCGAUUUUGGGCAAAAAUUCCAAUUUUUUGGGGUGAAAAUCCCGAUUUUUGGGGGGAAAAUUCGGAUUUUUGGGGGUCCCAGAUCUGUGGGGCAGCCCCACAAGUGGGGUUUGGGUCAAAAAACCCCGGUUUUGGGCAAAAAAUCCCAAUUUUGGGUCAAAAAACCCCAAAUUUGGGUCAAAAAUUCCAAUUUUUGAUCAAAAACCCCCAAUUUUGGGUUAAAAACCCCAAAUUUUGGGUCAAAACCCCAAAUUUUGAUCAAAACCCCCAAUUUCUGGGUUAAAAAUCCCAAUUUUUGGGUCAAAACCCCAAAUUUUGAUCAAAACCCCCAAUUUCUGGGUUAAAAAUCCCAAUUUUUGGGUCAAAACUCCCCAAUUUUGAUCAAAAAACCCCAACUUUUGGGUCAAAACCCCCAAAUUUUGGGUUAAAAACUCCAAUUUUUGAUCAAAAACCCCAAUUUUUGGGUUAAAAAUCCCAUAUUUUGGGUUGAAAAUCCCAAUUUUUUGACCAAAAACCCCAAAUUUUAUGUUAAAAAACCCCAAUUUUUGGGUCAAAAUCCCCAAUUUUUGGUUCAAAAACCCCAAUUUCUGGGUCAAAAAUCCCAAUUUUUGGUUCAAAAACCCCAAUUUUUGGGUCAAAACUCCCCAAUUUUGAUCAAAAACCCCAACUUUUGGGUUAAAAACCCCAAAUUUUGGGUUAAAAACCCCAAUUUCUGGUUCAAAACCCCAAUUUUUGGGUCAAAAACCCCAAAUUUUGAUCAAAAACCCCAAUUUAUGGGUUAAAAACCCCAAUUUUUGGGUCAAAACCCCCAAUUUUUGGGUUAAAAAUCCCAAUUUUUGGGUCAAAAACCCCAAACUUUGAUAAAAAACCCCAAUUUUUGGGUUAAAAAUCCCAUAUUUUGGGUUAAAAAUCCCAAUUUUUUGACCAAAAACCCCGAAUUUUAUGUUAAAAACCCCCAAUUUUUGGUUCAAAAACCCCAAUUUUUGAUCAAAAAACCCCAAUUUUUGGGUCAAAAAUCCCAAUUUCUGGGUUAAAA